rnacentral:rRNA from 1 species
GGGGAAUCUUGCGCAAUGGGCGAAAGCCUGACGCAGCAAUGCCGCGUGAGGGAAGAAGGUCUUAGGAUUGUAAACCUCUUUCAGCAGGGACGAAAACAGACGGUACCUGCAGAAGAAGCCCCGGCUAACUACGUGCCAGCAGCCGCGGUAAUACGUAGGGGGCGAGCGUUGUCCGGAAUCAUUGGGCGUAAAGAGCGUGUAGGCGGACUGGAAGGUCUGGUGUGAAAGCCCGGGGCUCAACCCCGGAGGGUCACUGGAAACCAACAGUCUUGAAUCUGGAAGAGGAGAGUGGAAUUCCUGGUGUAGCGGUGGAAUGCGCAGAUAUCAGGAGGAACACCGAUGGCGAAGGCAGCUCUCUGGUACAUGAUUGACGCUGAGACGCGAAAGCGUGGGGAGCGAAC